AUUGAACGCUGGCGGAAUGCUUUACACAUGCAAGUCGAGCGGCAGCACGGGGGCAACCCUGGUGGCGAGUGGCGAACGGGUGAGUAAUACAUCGGAACGUGCCCAGUCGUGGGGGAUAACGUCGCGAAAGUUACGCUAAUACCGCAUACGACCUACGGAUGAAAGCGGGGGACCGUAAGUCCUCGCGCGAUUGGAGCGGCCGAGGUCAGAUUAGGUAGUUGGUGAGGUAAAGGCUCACCAAGCCGACGAUCUGCAGCUGGUCUGAGAGGACGACCAGCCACACUGGGACUGAGACACGGCCCAGACUCCUACGGGAGGCAGCAGUGGGGAAUUUUGGACAAGGGGCGCAAGCCUGAUCCAGCCAUUCCGCGUGCAGGACGAAGGCCUUCGGGUUGUAAACCGCUUUUGUACGGAACGAAAAGGCUCUGGUUAAUACCUGGGGCUCAUGACGGUACCGUAAGAAUAAGCACCGGCUAACUACGUGCCAGCAGCCGCAGUAA
rnacentral:rRNA from 1 species